UUACUCAAGACAAGUUUCGAAAAGGAGACUAAUUUAAUAUAAUAAGAUUUCAUAAAAAAACGGAACGAUUAAUUUUGUGGAUGCACGAAAAUAAAAUUACGAAAUGUGGUCAUCAUUCAUUAUGUCAACUUUGGUGUCUUCCAUGCUUGAUCUCCACUCCAUGCUGUUUGGCGGAUCUGAAGGAGCUAGCCAUCGUAACAGCAAAGUUUUUCUUGUGCUGGACCACCACCAGUCAUCCACCAGUCAUAUGCUUUGACUGAUGACCUCAUGCCAUCAGCAACAAUCACAGUAUCAUCGCUUAGAUAAACAGCAUCCGGUUUAAUUGGAGAAACUUCCAGUAUCGACCGAGUUAAGGAUCUCUUCAAUUCCCCUUUCCUUUUCUUGUCCUCGUGUACGCCCAUGCGAGUGUGGGUGUAUUCACGAGGACUCCCUUUUACCUAUCCCUCCUGGUGGAU